rnacentral:misc_RNA from 1 species
GAUGAAGAACGUAGCGAAAUGCGAUAAGUAAUGUGAAUUGCAGAAUUCAGUGAAUCAUCGAAUCUUUGAACGCACAUUGCGCCCGCCAGUAUUCUGGCGGGCAUGCCUGUCUGAGCGUCAUUUCAACCCUCAUGCCCCUAGGGCGUGGUGUUGGGGAUCGGCCAAAGCCCGCGAGGGACGGCCGGCCCCUAAAUCUAGUGGCGGACCCGUCGUGGCCUCCUCUGCGAAAUAGUGAUAUUCCGCAUCGGAGAGCGACGAGCCCCUGCCGUUAAACCCCCAACUUUCCAAGGUUGACCUCAGAUCAGGUAGGAAUACCCGCUGAACUUAAGCAUAUCAAUAAGCGGAGGA